UACGUAGGGGGCAAGCGUUGUCCGGAAUCAUUGGGCGUAAAGGGCGCGUAGGCGGGCGGCCGAGUCCGGGGUGAAAGCCCCCAGCUCAACUGGGGAAGUGCCUCGGAUACUGGUCGCCUCGAGGGAGAUAGGGGCGUGCGGAACUUCCGGUGGAGCGGUGAAAUGCGUAGAUAUCGGAAGGAACACCGGUGGCGAAAGCGGCGCGCUGGAUCUCUUCUGACGCUGAGGCGCGAAAGCCAGGGGAGCGAACGGG
rnacentral:rRNA from 1 species